rnacentral:rRNA from 1 species
UACGUAGGGUGCGAGCGUUAAUCGGAAUUACUGGGCGUAAAGCGUGCGCAGGCGGUUCGUUGUGUCGGUGGUGAAAUCCCCGGGCUUAACCUGGGAAUGGCCAUGGAAACUGGCGAACUGGAGUGCGGCAGAGGGGGGUGGAAUUCCGCGUGUAGCAGUGAAAUGCGUAGAGAUGCGGAGGAACACCAGUGGCGAAGGCGACUUUUUGGCCUGUAACUGACGCUGAGGCGCGAAAGCGUGGGGAGCAAACAGG